UUUUGGAGAUGACGAAUUUUAUCAGAGGCUGUUUCUGAGGUGAGCCAAGAGCUCUCCAGUGCUGCAAAAGAACUGAUUUGCUGUUCUGAUCAAAAG
rnacentral:snoRNA from 2 species